GAUGUCAAGAUGGGCGUCUCACACACCCCCAAGGACA
rnacentral:tRNA from 1 species